CCUUUUGAAAGCCGCCCUAGGACCCCCUAUAUUCAGGGAGCCGGGGCAACCCGGAUAUGGCGAUAAAAACCGUAUGGAAUAGCCGUUGCGGACCCGGGGGCGGUACCCGGCGCCUCCACCACUUCUCCACCGAGUUGGGUGGACCAUGGGGGCGAAAUAGGAUCGACGCGCGGGGUAAAGAUACGGCGUUUGCUCGGCAUGAUUCCGCCGUUAUCGGGUCAUCACUAAAACUGCCAAUGACAACUCUCGUCUGGCAAUCGCUGCCUAACAGGUAAGCGCGGUUCGGGGGGGCACCGGGCAACAGAAGCCCCCCCACU
rnacentral:tmRNA from 1 species